UACUGCUUCAUCAGCAAGACUUUCAGAGCCACAGUCCGACAGGUCAUCCAGGAUGUCCACAUGUCUUGUGCUUUAAAGUCACAGCCAAAGGGAACGGUGACAGAACUUGUGCUGAAGUCUGUAGGGGCAGAGUUAUAGAGGUAAAGGGGCCAGGCUAGACAUCCCAGGAGCCUUGGGGCCACCUGCACAGAGAUCUUUGCAAUUGUUUUGGUUUGGUUUUGGUUUUUGGAGACAAGGGUUUCCCUGUGUAGACUUGGCUGUCCUGCAACUCUUCUGUAGACCACGCUGGCCUCCAACUCAGAGGCCUCUCCCUCUGCUUCCCAAGUGCUGGGGUUAAAGGUGCAUGCCACCGCCACCUGAGGAGACCUUUGCAGUUGUAUUCAUCAAAACAACUCAACAACUUUGCGAUCUGGACGAGCAAAGGCUCCUGCUUUGGAUGACUCGAGGGUAAAAAGAAGAAAAAAAAAUCAGUCACCUUAUCAGUGACUUAAUCCCAA
rnacentral:lncRNA from 1 species